CACGCCCCUCUUUGACUGCUCCAUCCCUGUGUAGUUAUUAGUGUUGUCACUGACCGACCGCCUCUUUGCGGUCGGUUUUUUU
rnacentral:ncRNA from 1 species